UUCCGGUUGAUCCUGCCGGAGGCUACCGCUAUUGGAGUUCGAUUAAGCCAUGCGAGUCCAGAGCUUUCGGAGCUCGGCGUACCGCUCAGUAACACGUGGGUAACCUAACCUAUGCAGGGGAAUAACCUCGGGAAACUGAGUAUAAUGCCCCAUAGUCCACUACGCCUGGAACGGUGAGUGGAUCAAAGCUCAGGCGGCAUAGGAUGGGCCUGCGGCGUAUCAGGUUGUAGGGGGUGUAAAGUACCCUCUAGCCAUCUACGCGUACGGGUGUUGGGAGACAUAGCCCGGAGAUGGAUUCUGAGACACGAAUCCAGACCCUACGGGGUGCAGCAGGCGCGAAAACUUGACAAUGCGAGCAAUCGUGAUCAGGGAACUCCAAGUGGCUGGGGUAAGACCCAGUCUUUUCAUAACUCUUCAAAGGUUGUAGAAUAAGGGGUGGGUAAGGACGGUGCCAGCCGCCGCGGUAAUACCGGCGCCUCAAGUGGUAGUCGCUUUUAUUGGGCCUAAAACGUCCGUAGCCGGUUUGGUACAUUCGUGGGUAAAUCAACUCGCUCAACGAGUUGAAUUCUGCGAGGACGGCCAGACUUGGGACCGGGAGAGGUGUGGGGUACUCUCAGGGUAGGGGUAAAAUCCUGUCAUCCUGAGAGGACCACCUGUUGCGAAGGCGCCACACUAGAACGGAUCCGACGGUCAGGGACGAAGCCUAGGGGCACGAACCGGAUUAGAUACCCGGGUAGUCCUAGGUGUAAACGCUGUGGACUUGAUGUUGGAGGAGCUCCGAGCUCUUUCAGUGUCGAAGCGAAGGUGAUAAGUCCACUGCCUGGGAAGUACGGUCGCAAGGCUGAAACUUAAAGGAAUUGGCGGGGGAGCACCGCAACCUGAGGAUUGUGCGGUUUAAUUGGAUUCAACGCCGGA
rnacentral:rRNA from 1 species